rnacentral:rRNA from 1 species
UACGUAGGGGGCAAGCGUUGUCCGGAAUCAUUGGGCGUAAAGAGCGCGUAGGCGGCCCUGUAAGUCCGCUGUGAAAGUCAAGGGCUCAACCCUUGAAUGCCGGUGGAUACUGCAGGGCUAGAGUCCGGAAGAGGCGAGUGGAAUUCCUGGUGUAGCGGUGAAAUGCGCAGAUAUCAGGAGGAACACCGGUGGCGAAGGCGGCUAUCUGGACAGAGUCUGACGCUGAGGCGCGAAAGCUAGGGGAGCAAACAGG